ACGAACGCUGGCGGCGUGCUUAACACAUGCAAGUCGAGCGACGCUCUUCCUUCGGGGAGAUGACGGAGCGGCGAACGGGUGAGUAACACGUGGGCAACCUGCCCCUAGCUCUGGGACAACACCGGGAAACCGGUGCUAAUACCGGAUACGACAUCGAGCGGCAUCUCUCGAUGUGGAAAGUUUUUUCGGCUAGGGAUGGGCCCGCGGCCUAUCAGCUUGUUGGUGGGGUAAUGGCCCACCAAGGCGACGACGGGUAGCCGGCCUGAGAGGGCGACCGGCCACCGUGGGACUGGGACACGGCCCAGCCUCCUGGGGGAGGCAGCAGUGGGGAAUAUUGCGCAGUGGGGGAAGGCCGGCCGCAGCGACGCCGGGUGAGGGAUGACGGCCUUGGGGUUGUAAACCUCUUUCAGCGGGGACGAAUUCAGGCGGUACCUGCAGAAGAAGCCCCGGCAAACUACGU
rnacentral:rRNA from 1 species